rnacentral:rRNA from 1 species
GACGAACGCUGGCGGUGUGCCUCACACAUGCAAGUCGAACGGGGUAGCAAUACCCAGUGGCGGACGGGUGAGUAACACGUGGGAAUCUGCCUUUAAGUGGGGGAUAACUGACCGAAAGGUUAGCUAAUACCGCAUACGCAGAAAUGUAAAAGGAGCAAUCCGCUUGAAGAUGAGCCCGCGUCCGAUUAGCUAGUUGGUAGGGUAAAGGCCUACCAAGGCUACGAUCGGUAGCUGGUCUGAGAGGAUGAUCAGCCACAAUGGAACUGAGACACGGUCC